rnacentral:rRNA from 1 species
UACGGAGGGAGCUAGCGUUGUUCGGAAUUACUGGGCGUAAAGCGCACGUAGGCGGCUACUCAAGUCAGAGGUGAAAGCCCGGGGCUCAACUCCGGAAUUGCCUUUAAGACUGCAUCGCUAGAAUUGUGGAGAGGUAAGUGGAAUUCCAAGUGUAGAGGUGAAAUUCGUAGAUAUUCGGAAGAACACCAGUGGCGAAGGCGACUUACUGGACACAUAUUGACGCUGAGGUGCGAAAGCGUGGGGAGCAAACAGG